CGUCAUUUAACAUCUGUUGGUGUCAAUCAAUAAAGUGACGAAUUUUAUUAUAUAAGACGCAUGUGUUGCGUUGUCUUCUAAGCCCCCAAAAGGUGAUCGCGCCAGGAGUUGUGUCUCUAUACUCCGUGGCACAGAUAUUGCAUAAUUUAAAGUUACUGUGAAAGGAACUUGACAAUUAUCGCAUAGGAAGAGUUACUGUGUAACCUCUGUUUCCUACAGACAGGAAUUCAAUGAAGCUUUAUGGGAAGCUUCACUACCAAGAGGAGAUGUGCAUAUUAUCAGCGGGUUCUGGUUGGAUGAUUUUUCACAGAGUUAUGGCCCUUUGAAAUUUUCUAUAAACUGUACAUAUAGUGCAAUUCUUGUCCGGGCUGUUUCUCAGCAACUAAUUACCGGAAUUCAAUGAAACUUUAUGGGAAGCUUCACUACCAAGAGGAGAUGUGCAUAUUAUCAGCGGGUUCUGGUUGGAUGAUUUUUCACAGAGUUAUGGCCCUUUGAAUUUUUCUAUAAACUGUACAUAUUGUGCAAUUCUGGUCCGGGCUAUUUCUCAGCAACUAAUGACCGGAAUUCAAUGAAACUUUAUGGGAAGCUUCACUACCAAGAGGAGAUGUGCAUAUUAUCAGCGGGUUCUGGUCAGAUGAUUUUUCACAGAGUUAUGGCCCUUUGAAAUUUUCUAUAAAAAAAUUAUUGUCCCCCCAUCUACUGUGCCCUCAAGACGUUUCCUUUUAUCUGAAUAUAUAGUGCAAUAUUGUGACAAAAAAAACUUUGGGGAGCAUCACCCGUCUCCGACGGUUUCUUGUUACUAGUAUCUAGUAUCUAUUAAAAUCUGUUAAAGUCAUUGACACAUUAUUGUCUGAUAUACUUUAAACUUGCUGUGGAGUUUUUAAUACAAACAUAAACCAUACAUACCCUUGCUUUUUAGCUCACCUGAGCACAACCUGCUCAUGGUGAGCUUUUGUGAUCGCCUUUUGUCCGUCGUGCGUUGUCCGUUGUGCGACGUCAAUAUUUGCCUUGUUCACUCUCUGGAGGCCACAUUUAUUGUCCAAUCUUCAUGAAAUUUGGUCAGAAGAUUGGUCUCAAUGAUAUCUUGGAUGAGUUCGAAAAUGUUUAUGUUUGCUUGAAAAACAUGGCUGCCAAGGGGCGGGGCAUUUUUCCUUAUAUGGCUAUAUAUGGCUAUAUCAAAAUCUUGUUAACACUCUAGAGGCCACAUUUAUUGUCCGAUCCUCAUAAAACUUGGUCAGAAGAUUCAUCCCAAUGAUAUCUUGGACGAGUUCGAAAAUGAUGUCGGUUGGUUUCGAAAAUGGUUUUGGUUGCUUUAAAAACAUGGCCACCAGGGGCGGGGCAUUUUUCAUUUUUUUAUAUGGCUAUAGUAAAACCUUGUUAACACUCUAGAGGCCACAUUUAUUUUCUGAUCUUUAUGAAACUUGCUCAGAUGAUUUGUCCCAAUGAUAUCUUGGAUGAGUUCUAAAAUGGUAACCUUGGCUUGAAAAACAUGGCUGCCAAGGGGCGGGGCAUUUUUCCUUAUAUGGCUAUAUACAUGUAUGACUAUAGUAAAAUCUUGUUAACUUUCUAGUUUGCUCAAUCUUCAUGAAAUUUGGUCAGAAACAUUUGUUUCCUGUGUAGUAAAGUUUGUUUUAUUAUGUCAAUAUUAUGUGACAUUAAGUGUAUUAUGUAAUUUUUCAUAACACGGAAUUUUCAUAGUUAACAUAACAGUUUUAGUCAUUAACAAUUAUGAUAAGCCUUUCAAGUAAGAGAUAUCUGAAAGAAAGACAACAUGUACAUGAUUUUGCAGUAUUUAUGCAGUAUUUAUCUCCCUUGUUUAACCUGGUUCAGUAAUCUAUUUUUAGUUCUGCUCUGGAAUUUGGGAAGAUAUUAAUCAUUGAUAAAUGCACUGUUCUGAGGGAAAAUUGACUACUCUGCUAUUGAUCUCUUCUGAACUGUAUAAAUAAGCUGUUUUGGCUGAUUUAAACACCUCUUGAUGCUUUCUUGAAAAGUUAACAGCUCUUGAAAAAGGUUGGAAUUUUGAAAUAAUUAAACUCUAAAUUAUUUUUAACACCAGCAUCAAGACAUUUUGGCAUUAUUUUCUAAAUUAUUCUUAUUAUUUAGAUUAUUUUUAUUUGGCAUUGUCUAAAUUAGAAAGACUCUAUUCUAUUUCAAUAAAUUUAGUAAUUUUUUCUUAUUUUUACAUUUGAUUCACUGAAGUUUCCUAAUCUCCAUAAAUAUUGUUCUUUAGAUUAAAUUAGACCUAUUUUGUAAACUAGAUUUUUGAAGCACUUUCUAGACUAACAGUAACUUAUAUUUACUGUAAUUACUCUAUGUUUUCAGACACUUAAAAAUAAUUAUUUUUUUCAUGUCCGAAAACUUAGAUACGAAAAAUAUUAAAAAAAUAAAGGUGUCCGAAAACUUAGAGUCGAAAAUGGAAGUGUCUGAAAAAAGCGUCAAUGGUAUCAACGACUACCGGUAAUAGCAUGCGCUUGUAAAAUACCAUGCCGUAUAAAUUACAGUUAUACAUGUUUGCACUGCAUUUUAAAUAAUUGUAAAUGCUUAAUUUAUUUGACAGAAAGUUACUUCAAGGUUGUACUUUGACCAACGAGUUCAAAAAUGAGCAUGUGAUGUACCGAUACACGCUUGUUUGAACCUGUAAUUAACGCAGUAAAAAAAGCAGACUAUGAAUUCUUUAUUAGUUCAUUUCCGAUAGUUGUUGUGUAAUACCUUCCAUUGUUCGUAAAACUUGUAAUAGGGUGCAUCACAAUUUGAAACAUUUAGUAUUUGUCACAGUUAUUUUACUGAGAAGGGAUAGUACCAUUGCGGUAGAUAAUUGAACUGUUAAUUGACACUACCCCUGGUAAUUGUCAUAAUGCUUAUGCUAUCGGCGAAACCAUUGUUUAAUACCGGUUUACAAGGUUAUUUACCCAAUAACGCAAAUGUAAUGUUCCAUUGCCCUCAGGCAUGCACCCGCAAUGUUUUAUGAUGUUAAUCUGGUUGUAAAACCCCAUGAUCGAAGUGUUAUUAGAUAUCGAAAACAGGUUCGAAAUUUGGUAAAAUAGCGCUGUAAAAUAUAUUGUCGGAAAACUUAGAGACAUAAAUAACGGACGAAAACUCGUGUGUCCGAAAAUAAAGAGUCACGAAAAAUAAUUAUUUUUGCUAAAAAAGGGGGUGUCCGAAAUUUUAGAGUGUCCGAAAACAUAGAGUAAUUACGAUAUAUCAGUUUUAUUGACAGAUUUUGAACUUCUUUUUACAUUCAUUAAGGUAUUUACUGUAUGUUGUUCAUUUUUGUAACGAUACUUAGAUUUUUUAGACUUGGCUUGUACCUGUUCUUAAUUUUCUGUCAUUGUUCUUCAUUUUCCGAGUUCUUGGAAUAAAAAUUAGUUAUUUUUGUUUAA